rnacentral:rRNA from 1 species
AGUGAACGCUGGCGGCGUGCUUACCACAUGCAAGUCGAACGAGAACGGAUUAUAGCUUGCUAUAAUUGUCAGCUAAGUGGCGCACGGGUGAGUAAUGUAUAGAUAAUAUGCCUCUUACUAAGGGAUAACAAAUGGAAACGUUUGCUAAUACCUUAUACUCCUUAUUAACAGAAGUUAAUAAGGGAAAGAUUUAUUGGUAAGAGAUUAGCCUGUAUUGUAUCAGUUAGUUGGUGGGGUAAUGGCUUACCAAGACUAUGACACAUAACUGGUUUGAGAGGAUGAUCAGUCACACUGGAACUGAGACACGGUCCAGACUCCUACGGGAGGCAGCAGUGGGGAAUAUUGCACAAUGGACGAAAGUCUGAUGCAGCAACGCCGCGUGGAGGAUGACACAUUUCGGUGCGUAAACUCCUUUUAUAUGAGAAGAUAAUGACGGUAUUAUAUGAAUAAGCACCGGCUAACUCCGUGCCAGCCGCCGCAGUAACAC